GUGAAUCAUCAAAUUUUUGAACGCAAAUUGCACUCCCUGGUAUUCCGGGGAGUAUGCCUGUUUGAGGGUCGUUAUAAUAAAAAAUCUAGUCGUCUCUCUUUUUUUUAAGGGUGAUCGCGUCGGUAUUGAGUCGUCUUUAAAUGUUAAUUCAUGUCAAAUUGUCUUAAAAUUUCAUCCAUCCGGUACGAUUAAAGCGUAUUUAUGAUCUAUUUUGAUUAAGAACGCGCGAUGUCGUACCAUCUCAUGUAGUACGUUUGACCUGGGUC
rnacentral:misc_RNA from 1 species